rnacentral:lncRNA from 1 species
CAGCGGGAAGCUUCGUCCGCCUCGUCCGCUAGAGGCGCUCCCGCCGCAGGUGUGCCCUCCUCCCCCCACCACAGCGCUACGACGCAGCUUUCUUUAGUACACGCCACUUCACGUCAGUCGACUGUCAACCACAGAGGCGGGCGGUCGCACGCACGCCGCAGAAAAGCGCCGCGCCAACCGUAAACACGACGCACUAUCUGCGCACCGCUUCCGUUCGCGAAAUAACCUCAAUCUAACGCUCCUUCGCUCGUGUCGUGUUGUGCCAAAGUGGAUAUAUGAAAACAGUGCAAAUCGAAACAUCAGUACAUCUAAUUGGAUGUGUGUUUAAGGCAGUUUGCAUUUGGUAAACAAAAGUGACUACAGUGCCUUUGGAUCGAAGUGUGACCUCAGUGUGAUGUGAGACGGCAUUGCAACGGACCGUAGACGCCGCCGUACUGCUGUGAUAUUAUCUUCUGUGAUGUGCGAAUGAGCAUAUGGAUAUUUUUAUAUGUGAUUUACCAGUGCCCAGUACAAACCGAGUACAAAAAAAAACGGAUUUAGUAUAUUUAUAUUUACAUUGAAACAAUGAAAGAGGAGUGCAAGCUUUGCAGUGUCAAUGGGUGGUGCGCCUCUCAAGGGACUACGGACUUUUCGAUAAACUCGUUGAUGAGACCUGCCGCGCAGCAUCCGGAGCCGAUGGAGCCGAGACACGACGCGGUGCUUCUCUCCGCCUAUUUGUUCAAAUUAGGUGAUUAUCCCUUGUAUACGCUUCACGAUUACCACGCCAACGUCGGUAAGCCGCCAGCAUGCAGCUUAUGUGAUCCUAUGGUUCCCAUGCCCACGUAUGGUAAGCACAUAAAGAAGUUUCACAUAUCAGGACGAUUUUCGUUCGUAUCUUUUUUAACCGACUUCUAAAAAGGAAGGUUCUAUGUUCGGCGGUAGUGGUAAUAGUAGGCGAUAGUUAUAUGUAUAGUCUUUUCGUUGGUCUCAAUAAAACUGGAAAGCGCCAUUAAAAAGGGUAAAAUUUAAUUUAAAAAACAAAACAACAAACAAAAAUUUAUAAAGCAGCAAUUUUGAAGUUAUUGGUCCUAUACAAUAGUGUACAAGUCGUCAUUAUCAGCCCACAGGCGUCUACUGCCGGGAAUAAGCCUCUUGUAAACACAGGCGAAUAUAGGGCCGGGUGGGUUGUGCCCAGCCUAGGAUGGACCUGUGCCUACCCUAGGAUUCUGGGCUACCGAUAUGGAAGUCUAUUUAUUACUGAUACUAAUAAUAUACUCGAUGUCGGGGCCAGGCCCACCCUAGGUAAUAAUAGAUUAGGCCCACCCUAGAUACGCCAAUGCUUGUAAACAGUUACAAACAACACAGUUUUGAGCCGCCUAUCCAGUGGUACCUUAUAACCCGCUUGAUGUCAGUAUAGUGUACGCUUGAUUAACCAAUACGAUGUGAUAAUUCAAAGAAAAACCGAGGGCCUUGUAAAAAAAAGAGCAAUCCCGCCAACAUGGUCGAGUGGGGACGAAUAUAAUCAUAUUAACCGUGUUUUCAGUCUUUGUCCAAUUGAAUCCAGUUCAGUAAUCAAGUGGAUAGGAGUGGGUCACGAGGUCGCCCCCCGCCCGCGCCGCCCCGCACCCCCGCACUACAUUAUUUACGAAUAUACCCGCGCAGUGCUCACAAAAACAACUAAUAAACAUUUCACCCUUAUAAUGAAGGCGGGUUUAGAGUGUGGGAACUUUUUCUGGCUACUUGUUUAACUAUGCGGGUAUAUAAUAUAGGGUGACUGCAUGAGGACUGCAUUUGUUUAUCGUUGAAUUUAUUCUGUCUUUCAGAACUUUUUUUAGUUUUGCCACUGUAUAUAACGUACCUAGUUCAGCCAAAAAAAUGCCUAAAGUACUUUUUAAAGCUAUAUAUUCUAAAAUAUAUACAUAUUUGCAUAAACAAACAUAUUUUCAUUUUACU